GAGUUGAUCCUGGCUCCGCCUGAACGCUGGCGGCAUGGCUAAAACAUGCAAGUCGUGGGAGAAGCACCUUCGGGUGUGGACACCGGCGAAAGGGCGAGUAACGCGAUCGAACGUACCCCGAGGUGGGGGAUAGCGUCGGGAAACCGGCGGUAAUACCCCAUGUGCUCUAUUGAGGAAAGCUCCGGCGCCUUGGGAGCGGCGAUCGUCCUAUCAGGUUGUUGGUGAGGUAACGGCUCACCAAGCCGAAGACGGGUAGCGGGUGUGAGAGCAUGACCCGCCGCAUCGGGACUGAGACACUGCCCGGACUCCUACGGGAGGCUGCAGUAACGAAUCUUCCGCAAUGCACGCAAGUGUGACGGAGCAAUGCCGCGUGUGGGAUGAAGCGGUUCCGCCGUGUAAACCACUGUCAGGGUCUAGGAAGAACUGACCAGACCCAGAGGAAGGGCCGGCUAAUCUCGUGCCAGCAGCCGCGGUAAGACAAGAGGCCCAAGCGUUAGGCGGAUUCACUGGGCUUAAAGGGUGCGUAGGCGGAUUGGCAAGCAUCUCGUGAAAUCCCUCGGCUCAACCGAGGAAUUGCGGGGUGAACUGCCUGUCUUGAGGAAGGCAGAGGCUGUCGGAACGUUCGGUGGAGCGGUGAAAUGCGUAGAUAUCGAACGGAACGCCGAAGGGGUAGCCAGGCAGCUGGGCCUUACCUGACGCUGAGGCACGAAAGCGUGGGGAUCAAACAGGAUUAGAUACCCUGGUAGUCCACGCCGUAAACGAUGUGCACUAGCUCGAUGCAGAUCUGACUCUGUGUCGGGCGCCGAGAAAUCAUUAAGUGCACCGNCUGGGGAGUACGGUCGCAAGGCUAAAACUCAAAGGAAUUGACGGGGGCUCACACAAGCGGUGGAGCAUGU
rnacentral:rRNA from 1 species